UGUUCGGCCCUUGUGGCCGAAGGGGCGGAUUGCAUCCCGGUGGUCACGCGAUGAGCUUUGGGGCGAC
rnacentral:tRNA from 1 species